ACGACGACAACGGAAGGACGAACUAACUCGUAGGUAGGGCGGACCGGACCGGCGACUACGGGUGAGUAACACGUAUGCAACCUGCCGGUAGGCGGGGAAUAACCCGUUGAAAGACGGACUAAUACCGCAUAAUACUAAAUUACUGCAUGGUAAUUUAUUUAAACAUUUAUGGCUUACAGAUGGGCAUGCGCAUGAUUAGCUAGUUGGAGAGGUAACGGCUCCCCAAGGCAACGAUCAUUAGGGGUUCUGAGAGGAAGGUCCCCCACACUGGUACUGAGACACGGACCAGACUCCUACGGGAGGCAGCAGUGAGGAAUAUUGGUCAAUGGACGAGAGUCUGAACCAGCCAAGUCGCGUGCAGGAAGAAUGUCCUUAAUGGAUUGUAAACUGCUUUUGCGAGGGGAAUAAAGUGCAUCACGUGUGAUGUUUUGUAUGUACUCUGCGAAUAAGGAUCGGCUAACUCCGUGCCAGCAGCAGC
rnacentral:rRNA from 1 species